rnacentral:misc_RNA from 1 species
GAUGAAGAACGCAGCGAAAUGCGAUAAGUAAUGCGAAUUGCAGAAUUCAGUGAGUCAUCGAAUCUUUGAACGCACAUUGCGCCCCUUGGUAUUCCGGGGGGCAUGCCUGUUCGAGCGUCAUUAUAACCCCUCAAGCUCAGCUUGGUGUUGGGGCCUGCCUACUGGCAGCCCUUAAAAUCAGUGGCGGCGCCAUCUGGCUCUAAGCGUAGUAAUUUCUCUCGCUAUAGGGUCCCGGUGGACGUUUGCCAACAACCCCCAAUUUUUUAAUGGUUGACCUCGGAUCAGGUAGGGAUACCCGCUGAACUUAAGCAUAUCAAUAAGCGGAGGA